rnacentral:rRNA from 1 species
CCUACGGGAGGCAGCAGUGGGGAAUAUUGCACAAUGGGGGAAACCCUGAUGCAGCGACGCCGCGUGAGUGAAGAAGUAAUUCGUUAUGUAAAGCUCUAUCAGCAGGGCAGAAAAUGACGGUACCUGAGUAAGAAGCCCCGGCUAACUACGUGCCAGCAGCCGCGGUCAUACGUAGGGGGCAGACUUUAUCCGGAUUUACUGGGUGUAAAGGGAGCGUAGACGGCAGUGCAAGUCUGGAGUGAAAGGCGGGGGCUCAACCCCCGGACUGCUCUGGAAACUGUACGGCUGGAGUGCAGGAGAGGUAAGUGGAAGUCCUGGUGUAGAGGUGAAAUGCGUAGAUAUUAGGAGGAACACCAGUGGCGAAGGCGGCUUACUGGACUGUAACUGACGUUGAGGCGCGAAAGCGUGGGGAGCAAACAGGAUUAGAUACCCCUGUAGUC